UACUCCUCCUAUAGCAUACUUUUAAAAUUCAUUGUCUCAUUAAUGGUCAUGUUGAUUAUUUACAAAUUUAUAGCUAUCAGGAAUAAGACUAUUAAGAGAAUUCUUGUACAUAACUUCUUAAGAUGACUUAUUUUCUUUUAUCUUGGUUAAAUAGGAGUAUAAUUACUGCUUAGGUCAUGUGUAUUUAACUUUGUGAUUAUAUACACUCACCAAUAGUGUAUGAGACUUCUACUUCAAGUUUGAUCUCGUGUCAAAUAUUGGAAUAAAGUACAUUAAAAUCAGUCACUGAUAUCUCAAAGAAGGAAGAAAGUCAUUUGAUUGUUCAAUGUAAGAUUCAUGGAGAUGACAGGGUUUAAACUGAACAUUAAGAAAACUAGAAAAUUAGGGGCAAUAGACAUACUGGGGAAGGAUCUUUCUUUUAACCCUCAGGUUGGGGGCCUCUACUCCUUAUGUACUUCUUUCCAAGGAAAAGGGAGAAAUAUAUAGGACCAUGAAGAUAAUACAGCAGAUGAGAGAAUGACAUUCAUUGAAUCACACUGGAGUCACCGUGUUGAAAAGCAGAGAAAUUGAGAGGUGUAAUUGUAUCUCCAAAACUUCGACACCUAUGAAAAAGUAGAAGGGAAGAAAGAGACGCUCACAUUUUAUAGAUAGCAGUGCUGAAAUAUGAGAGACAGGAAAACAGAGACUUAUUUUAGACCUAAAGACACCUGCAGACUGACCAUGAGGGGAUGGAGGAAAAAACUAUCAUGCAAAUGGAUGUCAAAAGAAAGCCAAAGUUGGGAUCCCUGGGUGGCGCAGCGGUUUAGCGCCUGCCUUU